UGUCACGCAAAGCAGUUAGGUACAAGAGCUUGGCCCCGGGUGUGGCCCAGGGACUCAGUAGCGCCCCCUUAGGUGAUUGAGGCAGUGGUUGGCACAUCAAGCUAGACGCUGGGCCUGACGCAUCAAAUUUGGUAGGUGUGUGUAUCUCUCCAAGAUGAGCAACUUUCGUAUGUACAAUGCAUUAGCCACGCCCAACAGGAAGUGAGGUAUUUGGUAUUUUGUGCGGACUAAAAUGUGAUGAAUUUU